UUGGACAUGUGCUACAGACAGAACAGAUAUUUUCACCUGCAAUUUUUCCACGGUAACAUGCAGACCAAACCGAGGCUGAUACAUGUUGCAAAGGCAAAUGCAGUUCACAAUACAGCUGACCACUGGUGAUUGAAGACUUUUGGAUAGGAGAAUGUGACUGACAUCCAGCAACUGGUCAACAUAACUGCUAUAUGAAGAUCUCUGCCCUAGGAAGAAACAGGCACUACAAAUCAACUGCUGCACAGUAACGUGACUGCAAGAAGGCCAGAGGAAAAGUUAGACCUCAUGCUCUAACUUUUAUUUUCCACACCCUCCACAAUAGUAUACUUACACAACUAACUUGCCCAGCCUUAUCUGACCUUAUAUCUCUGCACAGUGGUUAGGAAAGGAGGCCAGGAAGAAGAGUUGUGAGCUAUUCCUGCCUCUCAGUUGCACUUAGCAUGUGAUGGGAUCUGCCAAAUUUCACUGCUGAGCAUCUGACAGGCAGCAGAGACAGAGCUGCUGCUCUGGGCUCUCUGCAUGCAGGAGCAGUUCAGUUGUACUGAACUGUCAGGCAGUGGCCAAGAAAUGCCAGCCGCAGGAUUCCUUAAAGGGCAAUGUCCCUCAUGCACCUCAGAGACCGGCCGGGAGAGCUGAGGCCCGGUUCGCACCAGCGCCACCUGCUGCUCGGCGCUGUCUGAUGCAGCUCAACCAGCGAAAAUCUAAAUCUUGAAAAUAAAUUACCGUCUGACAAACGCACCAAAAUACGGCAAUAACAUCUAACACUCUGCUUAUUUGCUAAUAUUUUCCCUUAAUGUCUCUCCAAGAAUUACUCUUUCCAGUAGCUGAAGCGUAUACUGCACUGUACUUGCACAAAUACACUUGUAUGCACACAUGCAGGGAAGAAGUGUGGCUGACGGCUUGAAGGCUAGUAACAUAAACUGGAACUAGCCAGCACAGGAAACAAUACGUAUUUUGCAUUAUGUUACUCAUGCUAGUGAAAAUAGGUAAAAGGAAGCUGUUGGGUUUGUUUGUUUGUUUUUUUAAAGGAAAUAUCUUCCAAAGUUCAGGCAUGUUCAACUUUCCAGAAUUACACAAAUUGCGAUGUUUUUACAUUUACAGCUCCAUUGCUAUUGAAUUUACAGCUAUUAUUCUCCUAUCUAUAAAUGCAUGGAUCCAUACCCUGGGUCUCUUUAAUACCUAUAUCAAUCAAUUUAGAUAUAUUUUAUAAAAGCUGACAGUUUCUGUUAACUCAAGACUGAAUGGUAUGAUUGGAAUGCUAUGCAACUUUAAUUCAUAAUAUGAAAAGACUUGCAAUGCUAUGUGUAUUCAGACAACUAAAAGAAACUUAUUACUGCUUAUAUUGUUUGACAGUUAAAGGUAACAUGUUUAAUACUUGCAGUAUUAAGCUGUAAAAAGUUUAAUGGAACACAUGCCAUUAUAUCUCAACUAACAAUCACAAGUUAUCAGAAGGAGGAGAAAAAAAUCACUUAAAAAUAUGACUUAACACAUACCGAGCACUUAUUAAAAGGUAAAUAUAUUCCAGAACAGAGUGAUUCAUUGAAAGAUUGCUUUUCUGUUUUGGAGAAAGACUUUAUACAAAAGAUAAAAGAAAGCAGCAAACAAGCUCUUCUGAGUCUAUACUUACAAUAUAUAUUAUAGCCUGACAUGGCUUAUACUUACUACUUGGGGCUCAGUUUUCAUAUAUAGAUCAUCAUGUUUUUGAGAACUGUUGUAAGUAGGAUAAAUGAGUCCUAAGGAAACUAAUGCAGAAUUACAGAAUUAAUUGAUCUUCCCAUACCUAUUCCUUGUAAGAAUGUAUGUUUCAAGAUCUGCUGAAUUAAAUAAAAAACCCCAAGGCAGCACCAAUUUCAGAAAAUUAAAACCUACUUCUGAAACAGAAAGUUGAAUUGUAGGAUCAGCUUAUUAUAUUAAUUAAGUAAAAUAUUAGUAUGUACAUAAUCUGUAUAAUAGACAACUUUUUUAUUCUUAACAAUAAGAGGAGAAAACACUGGCAUUGAGACAAUUUUUAUUCUCCAAGGCCCCACAUUUUUUAAAUUUCCAACUGAAUUAUUUUACAGUGAGAAUAAAAAACUAUUACUAGUAUGUAGGUUGUAUCAACAUGUAUUGUGCUUAAGGUUUUUCUGCUCCAUGUAAACCUGUUCUACAAGCCACAUUCUAGGUGUCUUAUAUUAUGCAUGGUGGCUUAUAUUAGGCACACUUAUAUUAUGCAUUCUCUAAGUGGCAUAUAUUAUUAUUACCUCUGCAAACCACCUGUGGGCAACACAACCUUGUUUUAGUAAUUGGUGUCUAUCACUGUCAAUGGGUAUUCCUACUGAGGAAUACAGUCUAAA